UUUGCGACUAAAUUUUGGGAAUUACAAGCAAAUUGCAAUGGAUAAUUUUUUUUUUUUAUUUUAAGCCCUGAUAAAACGCGGUAAAAAGAAAGGCGACAAAAUAGCGUUACAGAGACCGGAAGCGAUCAGUUGGAGAAUCCCGUGAAUGACCUUUAUAUCCCAAAAAUCACACAUAGUACGCUUGGGCCGCCUGUGCAACAACUAGUAGCAUUUGCAUCACAAAGGAAAGACUGAUUGCUCCACGCUGGACUCCAUUCGCACUAAGUUGUUAGACAAGAUGACGUUGUGCAGGAACGCAAUCCAAUACACUUCACGAAAUCUAACCAAGAAGGCUGGUACCACGUGUACGGUUUUUCACUAUUCAGUUUUCCGACAUUAGUAUUAUGUUAUUUUUCCUGAUAACUGCAUUCUCAAGACUACGUUAAUAAACCUUAUUUUGUUCGAACAAUAAAUAAACCAGCCAAAACUUGGAAUGAACACAUAUAACUCUAAGUCAUCCGAACUCCUCGCUUCAGUCCCAUUUAGCAAA